UUAAGCGACUAAGCGUACACGGUGGAUGCCCUGGCAGUCAGAGGCGAUGAAGGGCGUGCUAAUCUGCGAUAAGCGCCGGUAAGGUGAUAUGAACCGUUAUAACCGGCGAUACCCGAAUGGGGAAACCCAGUGUGACUCGUCACACUAUCAUUAACUGAAUCCAUAGGUUAAUGAGGCGAACCGGGGGAACUGAAACAUCUAAGUACCCCGAGGAAAAGAAAUCAACCGAGAUUCCCCCAGUAGCGGCGAGCGAACGGGGAGGAGCCCAGAGCCUGAAUCAGCAUGUGUGUUAGUGGAAGCGUCUGGAAAGGCGCGCGAUACAGGGUGACAGCCCCGUACACAAAAGCGCAUGUGCUGUGAGCUCGAUGAGUAGGGCGGGACACGUGGUAUCCUGUCUGAAUAUGGGGGGACCAUCCUCCAAGGCUAAAUACUCCUGACUGACCGAUAGUGAACCAGUACCGUGAGGGAAAGGCGAAAAGAACCCCGGCGAGGGGAGUGAAAAAGAACCUGAAACCGUGUACGUACAAGCAGUGGGAGCACAGGUUUACCUGUGUGACUGCGUACCUUUUGUAUAAUGGGUCAGCGACUUAUAUUCUGUAGCAAGGUUAACCGAAUAGGGGAGCCGGAGGGAAACCGAGUCUUAAUUGGGCGUUAAGUUGCAGGGUAUAGACCCGAAACCCGGUGAUCUAGCCAUGGGCAGGUUGAAGGUUGGGUAACACUAACUGGAGGACCGAACCGACUAAUGUUGAAAAAUUAGCGGAUGACCUGUGGCUGGGGGUGAAAGGCCAAUCAAACCGGGAGAUAGCUGGUUCUCCCCGAAAGCUAUUUAGGUAGCGCCUCGUGAACUCAUCUCCGGGGGUAGAGCACUGUUUCGGCUAGGGGGCCAUCCCGGCUUACCAACCCGAUGCAAACUGCGAAUACCGGAGAAUGUUAUCACGGGAGACACACGGCGGGUGCUAACGUCCGUCGUGAAGAGGGAAACAACCCAGACCGCCAGCUAAGGUCCCAAAGUCAUGGUUAAGUGGGAAACGAUGUGGGAAGGCCCAGACAGCCAGGAUGUUGGCUUAGAAGCAGCCAUCAUUUAAAGAAAGCGUAAUAGCUCACUGGUCGAGUCGGCCUGCGCGGAAGAUGUAACGGGGCUAAACCAUGCACCGAAGCUGCGGCAGCGACACUGUGUGUUGUUGGGUAGGGGAGCGUUCUGUAAGCCUGUGAAGGUGGCCUGUGAGGGUUGCUGGAGGUAUCAGAAGUGCGAAUGCUGACAUAAGUAACGAUAAAGCGGGUGAAAAGCCCGCUCGCCGGAAGACCAAGGGUUCCUGUCCAACGUUAAUCGGGGCAGGGUGAGUCGACCCCUAAGGCGAGGCCGAAAGGCGUAGUCGAUGGGAAACGGGUUAAUAUUCCCGUACUUGGUGUUACUGCGAAGGGGGGACGGAGAAGGCUAUGUUGGCCGGGCGACGGUUGUCCCGGUUUAAGCGUGUAGGUGUGUGUUCCAGGUAAAUCCGGUUCACUUUAACACUGAGGCGUGAUGACGAGGCACUACGGUGCUGAAGCAACAAAUGCCCUGCUUCCAGGAAAAGCCUCUAAGCAUCAGGUAACAUCAAAUCGUACCCCAAACCGACACAGGUGGUCAGGUAGAGAAUACCAAGGCGCUUGAGAGAACUCGGGUGAAGGAACUAGGCAAAAUGGUGCCGUAACUUCGGGAGAAGGCACGCUGACACGUAGGUGAAGUGAUUUACUCAUGGAGCUGAAGUCAGUCGAAGAUACCAGCUGGCUGCAACUGUUUAUUAAAAACACAGCACUGUGCAAACACGAAAGUGGACGUAUACGGUGUGACGCCUGCCCGGUGCCGGAAGGUUAAUUGAUGGGGUCAGCGCAAGCGAAGCUCCUGAUCGAAGCCCCGGUAAACGGCGGCCGUAACUAUAACGGUCCUAAGGUAGCGAAAUUCCUUGUCGGGUAAGUUCCGACCUGCACGAAUGGCGUAAUGAUGGCCAGGCUGUCUCCACCCGAGACUCAGUGAAAUUGAACUCGCUGUGAAGAUGCAGUGUACCCGCGGCAAGACGGAAAGACCCCGUGAACCUUUACUAUAGCUUGACACUGAACAUUGAGCCUUGAUGUGUAGGAUAGGUGGGAGGCUUUGAAGUGUGGACGCCAGUCUGCAUGGAGCCGACCUUGAAAUACCACCCUUUAAUGUUUGAUGUUCUAACGUGGACCCGUGAUCCGGGUUGCGGACAGUGUCUGGUGGGUAGUUUGACUGGGGCGGUCUCCUCCUAAAGAGUAACGGAGGAGCACGAAGGUUGGCUAAUCCUGGUCGGACAUCAGGAGGUUAGUGCAAUGGCAUAAGCCAGCUUGACUGCGAGCGUGACGGCGCGAGCAGGUGCGAAAGCAGGUCAUAGUGAUCCGGUGGUUCUGAAUGGAAGGGCCAUCGCUCAACGGAUAAAAGGUACUCCGGGGAUAACAGGCUGAUACCGCCCAAGAGUUCAUAUCGACGGCGGUGUUUGGCACCUCGAUGUCGGCUCAUCACAUCCUGGGGCUGAAGUAGGUCCCAAGGGUAUGGCUGUUCGCCAUUUAAAGUGGUACGCGAGCUGGGUUUAGAACGUCGUGAGACAGUUCGGUCCCUAUCUGCCGUGGGCGCUGGAGAACUGAGGGGGGCUGCUCCUAGUACGAGAGGACCGGAGUGGACGCAUCACUGGUGUUCGGGUUGUCAUGCCAAUGGCACUGCCCGGUAGCUAAAUGCGGAAGAGAUAAGUGCUGAAAGCAUCUAAGCACGAAACUUGCCCCGAGAUGAGUUCUCCCUGAGACUUAGAGUCUCCUGAAGGAACGUUGAAGACGACGACGUUGAUAGGCCGGGUGUGUAAGCGCAGCGAUGCGUUGAGCUAACCGGUACUAAUGAACCGUGAGGCUUAACCUU
rnacentral:rRNA from 1 species